UACGUAGGGGGCAAGCGUUGUCCGGAUUUAUUGGGCGUAAAGAGCGUGUAGGCGGCCAAAUAGGUCGGUUGUGAAAACUGGAGGCUUAACCUCCAGACGUCGACCGAAACCAUUCGGCUAGAGUCCGGAAGAGGAGAGUGGAAUUCCUGGUGUAGCGGUGAAAUGCGCAGAUAUCAGGAAGAACACACGUGGCGAAGGCGGCUCUCUGGGACGGUACUGACGCUGAGACGCGAAAGCGUGGGGAGCGAACAGG
rnacentral:rRNA from 1 species